CCUACGGGAGGCAGCAGUAGGGAAUAUUGCACAAUGGGGGAAACCCUGAAGCAGCAACGCCGCGUGGAGGAUGAAGGUUUUAGGAUUGUAAACUCCUUUUGUUAGAGAAGAAUAUGACGGUAACUAACGAAUAAGCACCGGCUAACUCCGUGCCAGCAGCCGAGGUAAUACGGAGGGUGCAAGCGUUACUCGGAAUCACUGGGCGUAAAGGGUGCGUAGGCGGGUUAAUAAGUAAGAUGUGAAAUCCUGUAGCUUAACUACAGAACUGCAUUUGAAACUGGUACUCUGGAGUGUAGGAGAGGUAGGUGGAAUUCUUGGUGUAGCGGUGAAAUCCGUAGAGAUCAAGAGGAAUACUCAUUGCGAAGGCGACCUGCUGGAUCAUUACUGACGCUGAUGCACGAAAGCGUGGGGAGCAAACAGGAUUAGAUACCCUAGUAGUC
rnacentral:rRNA from 1 species